UACCAGCACCCCGAGUGGUCGGGACGUUUAUUGGGCCUAAAGCAUCCGUAGCCGGUUCUACAAGUCUUCCGUUAAAUCCAGCUGCUUAACAGAUGGGCUGCGGAAGAUACUAUGGAGCUAGGAGGCGGGAGAGGCAAGCGGUACUCGAUGGGUAGGGGUAAAAUCCGUUGAUCCAUUGAAGACCACCAGUGGCGAAGGCGGCUUGCCAGAACGCGCUCGACGGUAAGGGAUGAAAGCUGGGGGAGCAAACCGG
rnacentral:rRNA from 1 species